rnacentral:lncRNA from 1 species
AACCUUGACUGGACUGGAACUCACUCUGUAGACCAGGCUGGCUUCAAACUCAAAGAUCCACCUGCCCCUGCUGGGUGCUGGGACUAAAGGCCUGCACCACACGCCUGACUGGUGAAUUGUCUUCUAAUUCUAAAUCUGGUACUAAGUGCUCUAAGAAAGCUCAAGAGGCUCACUGGUGUUGUGGUGGCCCAGGGCGUCAGUAGUGCCGUGACCUCCAGCAAGCGUAUGGCCUGGCAGUGGAGACUGACUAACCCUAAGGUAAAAAAACGGAUCCUGUGAGGGGAGCCCCCAUAGAAUGGGUCUGCGUGUGCCAGAGGGAAGAAAAUCAGAGCCAUCGAAACAUAGGGGCUACCAUUUGCUGAAGUUGGGGUCGAUCUGGAAAGGUGUCCCAGAAAACACAGGCAGCACCCACAGAUAAGAACAGCUUUUGUAGUUUAAACUCUUUAAAUGUGUAAGGAUGUUUUGCUUGCGUGUAUGUCCGUGCCCCACAUGCCCAGAGAGUCCAGAAGAGGGCGCUGGUCACUGAAACUGAAGUUACAGAUCGUUAUGAGCCGCUAUGUGGGACCUGGAAGCUGAACCCUCUGUGGUACACUCUCCCAUCUGUGGUACACUCUCCCAUCUGUGGUACACUCUCCCAUCUGUGGUACACUCUCCCAUCUGUGGUACACUCUCCCAUCUGUGGUACACUCUCCCAUCUGCUGAGCAUCUCUUCCUGCUGGAGUAGCUUUAUCUUGCUGGAGUAGCUUUAUCCAGCACCUGGAGGAGCCAGUCAUGCCCACUCCUCCUUUACCACCGUUCUCCUCCCAUCCCUUUACAAUAGGAGAGCAGGAGUUUGGAGUAGAGGGUGAGGAUAGGAAGGACGCUUCCCUCUGUGCUCGAUGGUAGGGGCUCCACUGGCCAGGAGAGCAGCAACUGUGUUGUUCUAAAUCAAGUUCAGAGAGGCGAACACAAAGUAAGAGUGAGUCAAGCUCAGAGAUCUGACGGUGACGUAAAACCAGUCACUUUAUUUUAAAUCACUCAUUCAUUUGUUCUAUUUAUUUUUAUUGUUAUUGUGUGUGCAUGAUAGGAAGGGGGUGGCUACUGCCACAGCAUGUAUGUGGGGUCAGAAGUCAACUUUGUUCUCUCUUGCCACUUUCAUGUGGGUUCUGGGAAUUGAACUCAUGUCAUCCGGCUUGCACAGAGAGCACUUUCCCCAUUGAGUCACCUCACUAUCCCCUAUUUUAUGUUUUAGGGGGGUCACCUCCACUAUCUUACUCUGCAGCUCAGGCUAGCCUCAAAUUUUCUUAAAGGUGUGUGCCUUCAUGCCAGGCUAGCAGAGAUUUCUUUAGUGACUUUAGAAGACUCCAACACUGGCUGCUAAUGGGAAGUCAGAUGGGGGUGGGUCCAGAGAAGACACUCGUCAGGGAGACUGUCACACACUUGAGCUGAGGGGUGCUGAGAGAGAAGAGCAGAAGUCAGGAUGCCUUGGGGUCAGGAGAGGUCACGGAGACCAGGCUAAAGUGACCAGCACAGAGAUUGUGACUUUUGAGGUGGCGCACACCUUUAAUCCUAGCACGUGAGAGCAGAGGCAGGCAGAUCUCUGUUGUGAGUUCAGGACCAGCCUGGUCUACCGUGUGAGUUCUAGCACACUCAGGACUAUAUAUAGAGACCCUGUUUC